GAGACCCUUGCUAUUAGUUGCUAUUUCUAGUCUUCGGAUCAGAAAGCACACUAAUAGGACCGCUCUCGUAAGGGAGAGGAAGGUUAGGGCGACGUCAAGUCAGUAUGCCCCGAAUGCCCUGGGCCACACGCGAGCUGCAAUAGUUUGGACAAAGAGCUGCAACACCGAAAGGUGAAGCCAAUCUCAUAAACCAAACCCCAGUCCGGAUUGAGGAUUGUAACUCAUCCUCAUGAAGCCGGAAUCCCUAGUAAUCGCGGUUUAUCAGGCCGCGAUGAAUAC
rnacentral:rRNA from 1 species